GCCUGGAUAGCUCAGUGGUAGAGCUCCUGACUAGAUUACGUUACAGGAGUCCCGGGUUCGAUUCCUGGUCCAGCA
rnacentral:tRNA from 1 species